rnacentral:rRNA from 1 species
UGGGGAAUCUUGCACAAUGGGGGAAACCCUGAUGCAGCGACGCCGCGUGAACGAUGAAGCCCUUCGGGUGUAAAGUUCUUUCGACAGGAACGAUAAUGACGGUACCUGGAGAAGAAGCUGCGGCUAACUACGUGCCAGCAGCCGCGGUAAUACGUAGGCAGCGAGCGUUGUUCGGAGUUACUGGGCGUAAAGAGUGCGUAGGCGGCGAGCCAAGUUUGGUGUGAAAUCUCCCGGCUUAACCGGGAGGGUGCGCCGAAAACUGGUUGGCUGGAGUAUGGGAGAGGAAAGCGGAAUUCCUCGUGUAGCGGUGAAAUGCGUAGAUAUCAGGAGGAACACCUGCGGUGUAGACAGCUUUCUGGACCAAAACUGACGCUGAGGCACGAAAGCGUGGGUAGCAAACA